rnacentral:rRNA from 1 species
UACGUAGGGUGCAAGCGUUGUCCGGAAUUAUUGGGCGUAAAGAGCUCGUAGGCGGUCUGUCGCGUCGGCUGUGAAAACCUGGGGCUCAACUCCGGGCCUGCAGCCGAUACGGGCAGACUAGAAUUCGGUAGGGGAGACUGGAAUUCCUGGUGUAGCGGUGAAAUGCGCAGAUAUCAGGAGGAACACCGGUGGCGAAGGCGGGUCUCUGGGCCGAUAUUGAAGCUGAGGAGCGAAAGCGUGGGGAGCAAACAGG